rfam:Pseudomonas mendocina ymp, complete genome.
UAGCGGGGCUUUGCCUUGACUGGGGGCGUGAGUCUCUUUAGACUCAUGCACCCCUAAAUUUGGCAGGGCGUUUGGCUCUGCCAUCUUUAUUUGUGAGCGUCGAAAGACAACAGUGGAGCUAGUAGA